rnacentral:lncRNA from 1 species
CGUGUCCUAAUGUUUAUAUACUACCAUAUUUUAAAUCUAUAUAUCGCCGUGUCCUAAUGUUUAUAUACUACCAUAUUUUAUAGUUAUCUACUAUCAUAUUUUAAUAUUUACGAUAAAAGAUAAUGUGUGCCACCAAGGGCCUUAAAUCCAUACCCAAAUGACAUUUCAACGUCUUUAGAUUAUUAAAAGCUACGGUCAAAAUUAAGUAAUUUUUAAAGUUCCAAUAAUAACUAAAUCAAUAUCUUGUUUAAAGGUUCCAAACUACAGUGACUAGACUAUAAUACACUAGUGACCACAUGACUUUGGACAAUUAUUCAUACAAACAGUAAGGGAACAAUAAGAAUUAUGGAGCAAAUAUAUGUCAGUAAGCGUAAGUAACAGAGAACAAAUUAAAGCAACUAAACUUUAGUAAAUGACAACACAACUACUACUAAAUUAGAUGCCAAAUUUCCUAAAGACAAUAACCAAAUAGGGGGGUUCACUGUCAUAGCCUCACAACAAUAUUCAAAGACAUGCGA